rnacentral:lncRNA from 1 species
UUGGAUUUGAUUUUGUUUUUGUGUGUUUGAGUUUUUUUUUUAGGUUAUGCACUGCUUCUGAUGAGUAUUGACAACGUCUACUGAUGGAUGCUGAUAAAGAAGAGAAAGAUUAACAUCUACUGAAGGAUGUUGAUGAGAAAGAUUCGAAUCUACUGAUGAAUGCUGAAAGAGUUUGAGAGAGCAUCUACUAAUGGAUGCUGCUAUGGAAAAGGAUGGUGACUAGACAUCUACUGAUGGAUGUUAGGUGAUUAGGCAUCUACUGAUGGAUGACAAUGAAGAUGAGAAAGAUUGGUGUAACUGAGGGAUACCAAUGAAGACAAGAAAAAUUAGCAUAUAUUGAUGGAUACUAUGUGAUUAAACAUCUACUGAAGGAUGUUACUAACAGCAUCUAUUGAUGGAUGCUAUGAUGAUGGAGACUGGGUCAAGCUAGUGACGUUAAAGAAGUGCUUGUUGGGAGGCAACCCAGUGCUCUGAACUUUUACUUUUAAUUUUUGUUCUAGUUUGAUUUAUGUUUAAUUUUAAUUUUGGGUGUGGUUUUAUUAUGCUCUGCUUGAAUGAACUAAAACUGCCUUGAUUCAACUGUGCUUUAUUUUAUGUGAUGGGUGCUUUAUGAGAUUCUAGUGUUUGAUUGAGGUUGAGAUCAUGCAUGAUGAUAAAUCCCAAUUUGUGAGACAGGUGCUUGAGAUAAAGUUUGAUUAAAAUACUGAGCAGGAUGUUUUUCUGAAAUUUAGAACUUAUGAGAGUACCUGUGUGAGUUGUGAACUUCAGAGUUGUUUUUAAAUAAUGGUUAUUACUUUGGACACAUGAAUGAUUUUGCCCAAA